UACGAGGGGGGCAAGCGUUGUUCGGAAUUAUUGGGCGUAAAGGGCGCGUAGGCGGUGCGGUAAGUCUGAUGUGAAAUCUCCGGGCUCAACUCGGAGUCUGCAUCAGAAACUGCCGUGCUUGAGUGUGGGAGAGGUGAGUGGAAUUCCCGGUGUAGCGGUGAAAUGCGUAGAUAUCAGGAGGAACACCUGCGGUGUAGACAGCUUUCUGGACCAUCACUGACGCUGAGACACGAAAGCGUGGGUAGCAAACAGG
rnacentral:rRNA from 1 species